rnacentral:lncRNA from 1 species
UGACACAGCCGCACAUUUCAUAAAGUAUAGACCUAGGGGCUAGGGAACAUGCAAGGCCUACUAGAUAAAUUUUACAACAUAGAUUAUUACUUCUAAGAUAAAAACAAAUUUACUCAAUAGUAACUACAAGCCAAAUACAAAUAUAUGAUUAUCCAACGGUACUAGAUAUAUUUAUUUAUAUCUCACUAGCAGACCAAAC